rnacentral:rRNA from 1 species
CAGUCGCCGCGGGAAUACGGAGGGCGCGAGCGUUACCCGGAUUUACUGGGCGUAAAGGGCGUGUAGGCGGCCUGGGGCGUCCCAUGUGAAAGGCCACGGCUCAACCGUGGAGGAGCGUGGGAUACGCUCAGGCUAGAGGGUGGGAGAGGGUGGUGGAAUUCCCGGAGUAGCGGUGAAAUGCGCAGAUACCGGGAGGAACGCCGAUGGCGAAGGCAGCCACCUGGUCCACUUCUGACGCUGAGGCGCGAAAGCGUGGGGAGCAAACCGGAUUAGAGACCCGCGUAGUCCCUGUCUCUUAUAC